AUUUCACCCAAAAUUGCACCAUUUCGCCCAAACUUGCACCAUUUCGCCAAAUUUUGCACCAUUUCGCCUAAAAUUGCACCAUUUCUCCUUCUCCUCCUCUUCCUCUUCCUUUUUCUUUUUUACACCAUUACACCAUUACACAAUAACAACAAAAAUCUCGUAAAAACCGAGCUGGAUUCGCCUACGCCGCCGACUCGCCUUAUCUAUCCUCCGCCGCCUUCGCCAAUCUCGUUCGAGCAUGAGAAUU
rnacentral:lncRNA from 1 species